CAAAUGGGAGGCUGGAGGAUGGACUGAAGCUGACCAAUGGGACUUGCCGCUGGCUUAAGUUUGGUGCCUUCUUUUACUCCGGAGCUGAGCGAACGCAAGGAGGGGCGGCGGAGCUGCCAAAUCUGCACCACUUCUGCUCUGAGAGGAAGAGCAGCAGGUUGCUGGAGCCACCCAAUGUUGAUCCAUACAGUGUCGGCUGAAAGACACUUUGAAUAUCCUAUCUCGGCAGACCUCCAAAACUAGUCAUUUCUGAAGACAGGUCUCCAAGCAGCACUGCUAAAUACAACAGGUGGGAUGGGGACUUCUUGCGUUGUUUUCAGCCGUACCCAAAUUAGCUACAACUUAAUUAUCAUAGAGAUCAGCACUUCUAUUUGGCCCCCUGUAAAUGACCAUAACUCUUAUUCAUCCACUCAGGUAAAGUUAUUUGAAAAAAAAAAAAACUACAGAAAUAAAAGUAGGGCCCUCUCUGCCCCCAAAGUGCAAUGAAUGGAAUAGAAAAACAUGAACUGAGGAAAGUUUGGGUGGCUGCAGAAACUCCAUGGGGAAUGGUGGUUUCUCUGUGUGGUCCCUAAAAUUAGUGUACACUAUUGCAUGAACCUCUCUUCUAUUGUAGUCAAAGAGGCUGAAAGGGAGGAAUGCGAUUAAGAGACUGGAAUCGGACUCUGGAGCUCUGGCUUCAAAAGUCUGCUGCAGACUUUUUGUGUAACCUUAGGAAAGUUACUUAGUUUCUCUGUGUUUGUUUCUGUGUAUGUAAGAGGCUGAUCCAAAGCCCACUGAAGUCAGUGAAAAGACUCUAAUGGCUUUGGAUCAGGCCCUAAAUGGUGAUGCUACUACUUACUGACAAAGGAAUUGUGCAGUUAAUUAACAUUUAUAAAGUGCUUUAGCUAGAAGGCAAUAUAAGUGCAAUGUAUUAUUAUUAAAUAAAUUGAUAUCUUUUGAAGAAACAAAAUGAAGACUCUGAAAGCUACUGAGAUGUGUUUCAGUGGGCUAAAACAAAGGAAACAAAGUGGUGUUUUAAAAUGUAUUACUUUAUACGGCAGAGAUACUGAAGAAAGCAAGAAACAGAAGAGGGAAAAGGAGAAAUUUUGAUGAACAGUCAGCACGUGAGAAGCAUAAUCUACUGCAUGUCACGUCUCUAUUUUUGAAAUAAAUACAAAAUUAGGUGGUUAAUUGUGGUUAUGCUCUGCUAGCUGUAUUCUUUAACACUUACAAAUAUUUACUACUGUCAAAAUAGAGUCUUGCAAAAAGGAAGUGGGAAUUAUUUUCUUUCAGACAGAAUUUAGCCUAUUUGAACUUAAAAAAAAAAAAUCCAGAAAAAAGAAAAAGGAGUACUUGUGGCACCUUAGAGACUAACCAAUUUAUUUGAGCAUAAGCUUUCGUGAGCUACAGCUCACUUCAUUGGAUGCUGUAGCUCACGAAAGUUUAUGCUCAAAUAAAUUUUUUAGUCUCUAAGGUACCACAAGUACUCCUUUUCCAGAUAAUUUAACAUGCUGCAUGAUAGUCCUAACAAAUUGCUAGUAGGCAUUUUGAUAUGUUUAAUUCGUAUCUUGAUAGUUACAAUAAAAUCUGUCCCGUUCAUUGGUUCUCAGAGUUGAAAUGAAACCAUUGUAUGCAAAAUACUAGCAGCUAGCUGGAGUUUGCUACAUUUGUUUUUCACAUAUGUAGUAUUUUAUUUACCCUGUUUAUCAGCCUCCCCCAUGGCUUUCCUAGUACAACCUAUAUUUUUAUUGUUUAGGCACUAAGCUCUCUAGGUCAGAGACCGCUUUUAUUUUUGGGUAUUUUAGAGGGGCCAAGCACAUUAGCAGCAGUAAGCAAAUAGGACAGAAUACCUCAAUAAAGAUACCAUUUAAAUUAUUUUUCUGCACAUUUUCCUUGGACAAGAUGGGGAACAUCAGCUGGUUUGUACAAUAUAGCUGUAGAGUUUGUAAAAAGUCUACUGCUAAAUGAUAGCAGUCAGUGUUAAUUGUAGUGUCUUGUUCAUGUCAUUUAAGUGGGGUUUUAGUGUCUCAUAAUUAUAGGCAGAUAAGUAGGAUCCUUGAUCUUUAGGAGCCUGUUUCUUGUAAAAGUCAAUGGCAAAAAUCUCCUUGACAUCAGUGGGAAAAAGAUUAGGCCCCAUGUGUGUGACAGAGAUUUUUCUAAUAGGACAGGAGGAAAGAAAACAUUCUCUCCAAGUUGGAGAGAGUUGCUGAGACAACAUGGGAUUGAUCAUACUCAUUCAUCUGUCAUUUAAAGGCUAGGUAAACUAAGUGGAAAAUCACUUCCUGUUUGAACAACCUGUGCUUUGUGUACUUUAUUAAAUCAGCCCAGCUGGAGAAUAUGUUUAUCUACUAUUCCUCACUGUAAGAGGUGUAGUAUCUUAUUGCAAAUCAAAAUGGGCUCAAGCCUCAGAGUUCAGAUCUGCAUUAGGAUGUCUGUACAAUUCAGGGCUAUUCCUAUCUAGGGGGUUGGUUAGUAGACACACACUUGUAAAAUAUGAACCACUGCUAAAUUACCACAACCCCUAAACUCUUGGGUACUUGGCAGACUUAGUCUAUAUGAAUUGUCACUUGCCUACAUCCCUGUAUAUCUGCUUCUCUAGCUUUCCUGAGAGAAGUGAACAGCGGUGUCUGAACAAUAAACAAAAGACUCAGAAAACAGUGGGCCACAUACCCAGUGUCUCAGAUACCUAUGAACCUAACCCUGAGAAAGAAUGGAGAAAAAUGCAGAAGAGUGGUUAACAAUUUUUCUACAAAAGUUUUAGAGGGGUGGACUGUUACAAUUUCACUUCUUGUACCCUGUCCAUACUAUUGACUGGUCUGUUCCUCCACUUCUUUGUGAAUGUUCUCUAGGGGCUAGAGCAGGGGAACAGUGAUCCGGAAGAUCUAACUGGCUAAAGCAUAGGGCCAGGAGUCUGGAACCUUGGAUUCUAAUUUUCAGUUCUGCUACUGACUGGCUAUGUGACCUUGAGGCAAGUUGUUUAAUCUCUUUAAGCAGUAACUUCCCCAUCUACAAAAUGGGGAUAAUUACCCGGUUUUGUAAAGUGGUGUGAGAUCCUCAUCUGAAAGGCGCUAUGUAAGUGUAAAUAUAUCCUUACCUGUCAUGACUUGAGUGCACUUUUCUCUGUUCUCACAGAGUCCUAAACUAGAGCAGUCUCUCACAAGAUAGAAUUUGGAAAUUAGGAAUAUGGGAUAAUUGAAAGGAGCUGUGAAGAAAGGGUCAUUAUAGAUCACAAAUUAUAAAAUUAGUGUGUGCUGAUCUAAUGGCCCCAAGGGAAUAAAAUCCUGAUCCUGAAAGGUGCUGAGCACCUCAGCUCCCAUUGCAUUCAGUACUUGGCCCCUCACAGCAGCAGAUGCUCUGGGUGAAAUCUUGACCUCAGUGAAAUCAGUAGCAAAACUCCUAUAAAUGGGAAUUCAAUGGGGCCAGGAUUUCACCCCAUGAUUUCACUUCUCUGUGUAAGGAGAUGAGUGCCAUCUAGUGGAUACAGGAAAGCACAGCAUGCUUUUUAGUGGAUGCAGAAAGCUGCAGCAUCCUUAAAUUAAAAUGUCAUAACCAAAUAGCUAUGCUGAAUUCAAGAUAAAAACAUGUGAGUAGUGCACAUUUCAGAUAAAAAAAACAAAUUAUAGUAUAAGCUUUGAAAAAUGGAUGCACUUUGAAAGUGUGAUACAAAAAUAAAAGGUAUCAUGAGCUUCCAUUCUCUUUUCUUCCACUGUUUCUCGCCACUCACACACACUUUAAAAAAUAUAUUACUCUAGUACCCAAAAGUGAGUGAGGUGUUUUAAAACCAGUUAAGAAGAAGGGUGCCUGCCUAAAGAGUCUAAAUACAAAAAUUAAAAAAUGAAGGAUAGAGAGAUUUAUUUGGGAUGAGUUUUUUGAGCCCAUGACUUGGAAAAUUUGUUGCUUUCCAACCUCUGUUCUAAUCCUGGAAUAGAGCCAUGAUCUUCAGGGUGGGGUUCUUAAGAGCACUCAGUUUUGGCUUAACUCUGCUCCUAUUAAAGUCAAGGAUAAAAUUCCUGUUGACUUCAAUGGGAGCAAAAAUUAGGUCAACGCUGAGUGCUUUUGAAAAUCCCAUCCUCAGUGCGUAAAGGUAGUCUGGGGAACAAAGGCUCCCCCUGCUUUUGGAGUCCUUGGUCCAAUGUGAUUUUUCCCCCUUCUCUCCUCCCCACUACUGAUUCUGUCUCAUGUUUUUGACCCAGCCCUCACCCAUACACACACUGCUUUCCUAUAUUUACUCCCUGUUGGUUGUCUCUCUUACCAUAGUAUAAUCAGCCCACUUUCCUCUGUCCUAUCUCACCCAAGCAAGAGUUGGCUUCCCAACACCUACCCACCUAUCAAGAAUUAAGUGCUUGUCCCUGUCCAAACCACUGACAGGGUCUGGUACUGCUGCUGUCAAAAAGGCAGUGAAAUAAAUGUUGAUCUGAAUGUGAUCAGAGCUAGGUCUAAGCAUGAGUAUUUGUAUGGAUAACAGCACUCUCCGCUUCGAUCAGUAAGGAAAAUACUGUGCACAUUUGUAUUAUGUGAUUUUUUCUAGUGGUUUGUAACAUUCAUUUCUAAAUCUUUUUGUCAAGAUUUGGCAAAGAGCUCGUUUCUCUCCAUUACAAAUGCUGAACUUCAGCCUCUAAACAAAAAAACCUAGUUACCAGAGCACCAAAACCUACCAGAACAAUGUCUUUAAGCAGCUAAGAGAAUACAAGCCGUUAAAAAUAGAGGCCAUAAUUAUUGCCUCUAUUACUACUGCACACAUUUCUAAAGCACCCACCACCACCACACAGUAGUUGUGGGACAGACCAACACAAACUACAGAAGAAGAAAAUUUCUAAGUCCAAGCAUUUUCAAAUGUUCCUUUAUGCUGACUGUAUGCAGCAUGAUUCACCUCUCUCAAACUGUCCCCUGGCAACAGCUAUAAGCAUCAACAAAGCUACACCAUUCAUGUGUUGUCUGAAGUGUAAGGCCCUGAGCGAUGGGAAUAGCAGAAUGUACAAGAUUACAAUACAGGACAGCUAAAUUGAUGGUAAUGAAAGUAGGGUUUCUAUUUCUGUCUGCCUAGGAGUGUCAUUAAGAAACUUGCUUUUAAAUAUGACUCUGCUGUUCACAACCAAGAUUCUUAGCAAUGAAGAACAUUUAUUAUAAAUAAACUAGUGUGAAAAGAGCUGCUAGUGCAGCAUUGACAGGAGAUUCCCCAUAUCUUGCUGUCCAGUGUCCACAGCAAUUUUUUAUUACCGUCUUUUAAUCUUUUUACAAGCUUGAAACAUCUCUUUCCACAGCAAGUCUGCUGGCUCAGCCCUAUAAGACAAUUAAACAUUGGCCAACUACGGUUCCCCCCCAAAAUCUAGGGGAUUAAUGUUUCUUGGUUUUGGAAAUCUAAUUUUAAAUCUGGUUUUGGGCACAAAUGAAAUGUUUGUUGUUCUCCAUUUAUUGCUGUCUAGCUCAGGGGUUUUCAAACUUUCAUCACAUGAAUCAUAUUUUUAUUGGUAGAUACACAUGCUCCAAUUCACAACUUCAUUAACCGCCCUCCUGCUCACUUAUAAUCACAGAAUAUCCCCUGGAGCAGUGGCAGCAAUUGCUUACAUGGAAAAGUGACACUUAGGAAGUAUUCAAUAUAUGUUUAGUCAUGUUUAACAUAAUUUAACAACUAGAAAUAAGGAGAAACCAGUUCUGUGCAACCAGCUGGGGAAAUUCUGACCUAGUGGGUGCUUUUCUGGUUUACCAAUUUACCUAACAACUGACAUUUUCCAUUCAGGAUGCCCAGGAAUAGUACAGUAUGGAGGGUUGUUGGAUCGGGAGGAGGUGCAUUAGCAUUAGCAGAAUUGUUUAUGGAAGUUCAGGCAUGGACUGGCUCCCUGCAGCUAGUUAGCACACUCUUCUAUGAGCUUUCUGACCUAGCAUUUUCCAUUCCAUUGUAGAGCAGUCUCAGACAGAUUCUACUUGAAGACAUCUGAAGAAUUUUGGGACAAGACUCAGACAACACUGAGGGUGUUAUGUUUCAGUUUAGUCUCCUUUGAAUGGGAGUAUAAAAAUAAAUUGAUAUG